rnacentral:rRNA from 1 species
GAUGAACGCUGGCGGCGUGCCUAAUACAUGCAAGUCGAGCGAACGGACGAGAAGCUUGCUUCUCUGAUGUUAGCGGCGGACGGGUGAGUAACACGUGGAUAACCUACCUAUAAGACUGGGAUAACUUCGGGAAACCGGAGCUAAUACCGGAUAAUAUUUUGAACCGCAUGGUUCAAAAGUGAAAGACGGUCUUGCUGUCACUUAUAGAUGGAUCCGCGCUGCAUUAGCUAGUUGGUAAGGUAACGGCUUACCAAGGCAACGAUGCAUAGCCGACCUGAGAGGGUGAUCGGCCACACUGGAACUGCGACACGGUCCCGACUCCUACGGGAGGAAGCAGUAGGGAAUCUUCCGCAAUGGGCGAAAGCCUGACGGAGCAACGCCGCGUGAGUGAUGAAGGUCUUCGGAUCGUAAAACUCUGUUAUUAGGGAAGAACAUAUGUGUAAGUAACUGUGCACAUCUUGACGGUACCUAAUCAGAAAGCCACGGCUAACUACGUG